CUGGUCUUGACAUCCCCCUGACCGGCCGGCAAUGCGGCCUUUCCUACGGGACAGGGGAGACAGGUGGUGCAUGGUUGUCGUCAGCUCGUGUCGUGAGAUGUUGGGUUAAGUCCCGCAACGAGCGCAACCCUUAUCUUUAGUAGCCAGCAGUAAGAUGGGCACUCUAGAGAGACUGCCGGGGAUAACCCGGAGGAAGGCGGGGAUGACGUCAAAUCAUCAUGCCCCUUAUGACCAGGGCUACACACGUGCUACAAUGGCGUAAACAAAGGGAGGCGACCCUGUGAAGGCAAGCAAAUCCCAAAAAUAACGUCUCAGUUCGGAUUGUAGUCUGCAACCCGACUACAUGAAGCUGGAAUCGCUAGUAAUCGCAGAUCAGAAUGCUGCGGUGAAUACGUUCCGC
rnacentral:rRNA from 1 species